rnacentral:rRNA from 1 species
UACGUAGGGUGCGAGCGUUGUCCGGAAUUAUUGGGCGUAAAGAGCUUGUAGGCGGUUUGUCGCGUCUGCUGUGAAAAUCCGGGGCUCAACCCCGGACUUGCAGUGGGUACGGGCAGACUAGAGUGUGGUAGGGGAGACUGGAAUUCCUGGUGUAGCGGUGAAAUGCGCAGAUAUCAGGAAGAACACCGAUGGCGAAGGCAGGUCUCUGGGCCACUACUGACGCUGAGAAGCGAAAGCAUGGGGAGCGAACAGGAUUAGAUA